AUGACUAGCUCCCAGAGACACAGAGCUAGAAACAACCACACACCUCUGCCUAAGUCUAGGCAGCUCCUUCGGCCUUCCCAGAUGGAGGACAUCUCAGGACCGUGCUUCCUCUCCUGUAAUAACAUUCUGUGGCGUGAAGAAUGCAGCCACGUCUGUAGAAACAGCCAAACACUCUCCCCGGUGGUUGUUCACUUUGCCUUGCCCCGACCACGCGUGAAGACUUCUGGUGCCCAUGUCUUUCCAGCCCAGGUUAGGGUUCUAGUGGGGGAGGUGGUGUCUGACUGCAGCUUUCUUUUUGUUUGUUUUUUGAGGUACCUGUGACUGAAUGCAGGGCCUUUACACAUAGUGACACCCCCACCCCCCUUUUUUAUUUCUGUUUUGCGACAGGGUCUCCUUAAGUUGCUACAUUUUCCAAGCUGAGCC
rnacentral:lncRNA from 1 species